rnacentral:sRNA from 1 species
AGCCACUAAUGCAGUUGAUGGGGUGGCGUCCUCAUGCCGUGCCUGUGCCCUCGGUUCUGAACAGUCGGGUUCAUCGUGUGUCCCCUGCCCUCCAGGCCACUACAUUGAGAAAGAAACCAACCAGUGCAAGGAAUGUCCACCUGACACCUACCUGUCCAUACAUCAGGUCUAUGGCAAAGAGGCUUGUAUUCCAUGUGGGCCUGGGAGUAAAAACAAUCAGGACCAUUCGGUUUGCUAUAGUGACUGCUUUUUCUACCAUGAAAAAGAAAAUCAGAGUUUGCACUAUGACUUUAGCAACCUCAGCAGUGUGGGCUCAUUAAUGAAUGGCCCCAGCUUCACCUCCAAAGGAACAAAAUACUUCCAUUUCUUCAAUAUCAGUUUAUGUGGGCAUGAGGUGAGUUCUGGCUGUCAAGGUGAGAUGGACCUAUAUUUCAGCCCCGAUCAAGUUGAUAUUUUCUGUGAUAAUGGACCAAUAAAUUCUCUAUGGAUAUCAACCAAGUGUCAGAAACUGAGGUUUGAUUGCUUAGAUCCUCUGUUGCCGCCUAGAAUAUUGGCAGAUUUCUCCACUAGGGGCAACCUUGUCUGGUUCUCCGUGUAUCAAAUCACUUCUGCAGUCAGUUGAAACCUGAAGCUUGGAGCUA